UGUUGUCCCAUUCGUCUGUACGAUGUUCAUUUGCGCCGCCUGCCGUUCUUCUUCCUCUGUUAAUAUUGUGCUAUGGGUUUUUAAAUUUCGGACUAUGGAAGUGGUUCGUUCCUGCAAGAGACUGAUUUCUGGUCUUCUCUUUCCCCUGUUCAGCAGCAAACUCCUCCUCUCCCUUCAUCGUUGUUGUUGCCGUGGCUGGAAUAAACCUUGUGGGGAAUGCUAAAUGGGUAAAUUUCAAUGGUUGGAUUGCCUCAGAUACCUUAGCUGACGUUGAUCUUCCUGCCGAUCCUGAGCACUUAUAGACAGCAAAUUGUCUCUUAUAAGUUAAACAUCGAGAAGAAGGACAUGCAACAAGAGAAUUUUUGACAAAGCAUGUACUCACUUGGUGUCAAGAUUUCUAGCAUGAAUACGUUCUUGUGGGUAAAGCUUCAAGUAAGGCUACUUUAUCGUAGUUGAUGAUUUGCUAUGUGCUAGAUUGCUCGCUACUUUUGCUGAUUAAAAGAAUAAGUUGUUAGUAUCUUUUUAUAAUAUUGUUUUGGACGUAACAUUGGCGGUUAUUAGAACUAUACCAUAAUUUUCUAGCAUUCUGUGUUUUGUUUCCCUAAAGAAUCUAUUAAUUACCAGAUAGAUAGGCUUUACAUUUGGUGCGUUUGUUGUAAAUGUCAUUCUAUGCUCGAGAGCAAUAUGCCUUUUUAUUCAUUAGAGGCCGUGAGUCUCUCUUUACUUAGUUUUGUGCAAGGAAGCCUAACUAUGGGAUACAAGAGAAAUAAUUUAUUAUUUUUGCAAUUUAUUUGAUUAUGGAAAUUUGGUUUGUUUUGAGAUGCCUACCUAGGCUUAUAAGGUUGAAUGCUCUAGCUUCCUAAUGGGUGACCUCUUGAUAUGGACUUCUAUUGAUAUCCCUAGUAUAAUCUAGGAGGAGUAACUAUGUAUCUAAGCAUCUCGCAACUGAUGUUUAUAAGGAAGUGUGCUUUAUUUUUGUUUAUAUGAAUUGAUAGUGCUAUAUUUUGCUGAAAUAACGCUCAUGCACACUACAUUGUAGUAGUUCCAAAAAUUGCAUAGUUUCUGACCAUAAAUAUAUCACUUUUAAAAGGUCUUUGCUUCUCUGACUAUCUCGCACGGCCGAGAUAGAUAGUUGUAAUGAAGCGUGGCCUGAUUCAUGAAGGAAAAGACAUAUUGAUGCAAUGUUUUUGUGGUUAUUGUAAAUCAAUUUUGUGUUAUUUGCAUAUUGUUUGUUCUAGUUUCUGAAACAAGAAAAUGAGACUGUUAAUGGAACAAGAAAUGAUAUAGUUUAACAUUAUAUGUGUGUGAUUUAAUGUUAAUGUAUGUUAAGCAUUUGAUUUUUUUUCAAAUUAGAACCAAAUUAGUAACAGAGAGUACGACUGCAGUUGAAGGUCUUAAAGGCUGAAUUUGGAGCUGAAACUUGGCAUGAACUUAUAGAACAUGUGGUAGUCUUGUGCACCCAAAUAUGGUAAUUUUUGGGUCUUUGAAGAAUAUCCUAUAAAUUUUUGGAUUUGGUUU